GAGAACUAAACAAGCUAAUGAAAGUAUGAACUAAACAAUAGAGCUUGCAAGGAAUAAAAUGUGAUAUAUUGCUUUAAUAUGCGUCAAUGUGAGAUCAUUACAAAUGGUUAAUACCCUCUUUAUAUAGUAGAGGAAUCCUAUUUACGGUAUAAUUCUAAUUACAGAAAGAAAUCCCAUGAUUAGCUAAAUAACCAUCCUUGAUUUGAUUUGAUCCGAGAUUUAUCCUCGACUCGUCACUGAUAUCUCCCCUUCCUAUUAUUAUGAUGUCUUCGAUUUUGUUUGAUGUCUAUCUCGUUCGAUUUCGAUUAUUACUGGUCUCGAUAUUGUUAGGCGUCUUGAACCUAGAACAAAGUACCUAAUCCUCGUAUCUCGGUCUGUCAAGCCAUGGGACUGAUCCUUGAUCCAUCCUCCUAGUCUUGGUUAAUUGGUAAAAUUGGGUGGGCCGAUUUUAACCGUAUACAAUAAUAUUUGAGUGUUGUUUGAAUCAAUGAUAUGAAAUUAAGAGUUGAGAUAGUUGUAAAGAGAAAUAAUUUUCGUUCACAAGUGAAAUAAUUAUUUUUUGCCGUUACAUUGAUAUGAUCCUUGGAACUAUCAAAUACUCUCAAACACAAUUUUCCUACUUUUAUGUGGCGCCAAACACGCCAGAAUGGGACGGUUCUUUAUGAAAAUAUGCGAAAUAUCAGAAGGUAUUUGCCAAUUCUAUCGUACUAAAAGGAAUAAUCAAAGACAAAAGUUGUCAAAAUCUGCACCAAGCAGUCAAGCACAACGUCGAGUUCCAUGUUGGGUACUAUGAUACAACAACAACUACCCAGUUAUCCCAUCAGGUGGGGUAUGGGGAGGGUAAUAUGUAGACGAGCCUUACCCCUGCCCGUAAGGGCA
rnacentral:lncRNA from 1 species